rnacentral:rRNA from 1 species
UACGUAGGGUGCAAGCGUUGUCCGGAAUUAUUGGGCGUAAAGAGCUCGUAGGCGGUCCGUCACGUCGGCUGUGAAAACCUGGGGCUCAACCCCGGGCCUGCAGCCGAUACGGGCAGACUAGAAUUCGGUAGGGGAGACUGGAAUUCCUGGUGUAGCGGUGAAAUGCGCAGAUAUCAGGAGGAACACCGGUGGCGAAGGCGGGUCUCUGGGCCGAUAUUGACGCUGAGGAGCGAAAGCGUGGGGAGCGAACAGG